rnacentral:rRNA from 1 species
AUGUGCGCCUCCCUGCACGAGCUCCUCGACCUCGCCGCCAGCAGUAGCAGCAGCUGCACCCUCUCGGCGCCGCCGGCACCACGUCGACCCCGCCGGAGCUGCGUCAACCCGGCGACCCCCAAGAGCUCUCCGUCUUGGUCUGAGCUCUCUCUCGAGGUCCCGUCGCAGUCGUCCUCUACAGCCGCUGCUCCGCCGCCUUGCCCGCUGGUCGCCGGCAGCCGCCUUCGUCCGCGGCCACAGAAGCCAGCAACAGCGCUACCCCGUCCGAGCUACUUCGCCCGAGCACCCAUGGAGAGGGCCUCCCGAGCCUCCUCGUGCGGCUCCACCUCGAGCUUCCCCGCCCCGGAUCCAGCCGCCCCUGCUUCCCAUCGCGCCUCCCCGCCUUGGAUCCGGUCGUCCCCGCGACGUCCCUGCCGCCAAGUCCACGCCACGGCCUCUGCUUCCUCUUCAUCGAGCAGGAGCUCUGCUUGA